AACCCAUGUUAAGAACAUCUCCGCAGGAGAUCCUUGAACAUGUCCCAUGUCUCAAAAAGAGACUAUAAUUGUGUUUGCACAAAAGAAGAUAUCUCAUUCCUAAGCUU